GCCGAAAGACCUUUAUGUGUAACUUGUAAAAAGUUCUGCAUGAUUAACUUGUUCACAGUUGUGCGUAUAAUGGUGGUUGAAAAACCCAUAUAACCUUCCACCAAAAUGUUCCUACUUUGAUCACUAAAGCACCCUCUUAUGGUCGGAGCACAAACAAAGCAAUGUUCAAGCCUGUUUUUAAACAUAAAGGCUUCACCAUCAUUCUUGCUUCCACCAUGCCCGAAUCGACAAAUCAAACUAGUGGACUUUGUUAAAUUUCUGUCGACCUGGGUUAGAAAAAUGCCCUAGUUCUUCUGCAUGAAUCUCCCAUCUUGGAGGCUAGGCACUGCUGUGCCGUGGGAUACUCGUUAAUACAACCAUUUCACCCUGUUAAUAUUACUUUUGCAGGAACCUCAAUUAACUGCGAACGAGCCAUUUGAUGUGUACGCGAAGCCCUUCUCCUUGUAGCACGGUAGACAGAAGCUUCAUCAAGUUGCGUCGGUUCCUAUUCAUCGUCGGUUUGAUGGCAUUACGGCUAACUUGGUUCCACGUAGACUGAAGUUUGUCUUGCAGUGUUCUGGAUGGACGAGCAAGAGUAUUAUAGCUCGUACUUCGGGUCUGAAUCUCAAUGUCUUUUUCGUGUGUAGCGGGGUGGUUGUUGUGGGAUUGGAGUGAUGGGAAACUGGAGAUACUCUGGGAGCGGGAGGAUCUAAUACCGUCUCCUAAAAGUAUCAAUUGAGGUGAAAUUUUGGAAGUGCCAACCGUGCAUAUCAAUUAGCAUUCCAGCUAUUUUCGCUAAAUUCUACCUCCAGCACCAGCUCCCGGAAUGUUUACAAUGCUCGAAAGGCAAAGAAAUAGAAGAAAUUAAGGGAGGGCAGAAAAAUUUGAAACUUGAGAUGAAGAUGUUCUCUUCAACCAUAUAAAUGUUUGUGGCAGCUCACCUCAUAUUCACUUGCUUAUUCAUUAACACAGUACUUUGAAUACAGGGGAUGUCGGUUACCAUGUUGCAUUUGCUUUCCCCUCUAAUAUAUUAAGAAACCUUAUAAAGUAUUGGAAAAUUCUUUAAAAAAAGUCAGACUUACUUUCGUAUUCAUAUUAGCAUUUCCUAUAUUUUUGAAAACUUUGACUUGCGAAUAUGGACAUAAAAUUGAAGAGACUUAUCAAAAGUUGCAAGAAAAACGAUCUUUCCAAGUAAAUCUUUUAUCAAAGUAUCAAUGAGCUAAAGUAGCGAUAGCCAUCGACAAAGGUCUCGGUAAGAAGGGACCGUUCCCUUUUUUCAAAUGUCUCGACUCGUUAGAUUAAAGUGACCGUCGGAUGAUUUUAUCUAUAACAAUUUUUUAGGUUUUAGGAUUCACUAUUUUUUUAACAUGAAAUGUCCGAAACUUACCAAAAUUAUCGGCAUCCGAUUCUUCUAGUUCUAUUGUUUUCUAUAUUCAACAUGAUACUUUUUAAAAAAUUUAAAUUUUGAAGGGGAAGUCAUUGCAAGCAAUUUUGCGCAUGACAAAGUUUUUAGAAUAGAAAUUGGGAAGUUAAAAAUUUUAGCUUAUGGUUUAUUCUUCAAAUUAAUUUAUAGAAUAAAAAUUUAUUUCAAAAAUAAAAAAAUCAAAUGGCGUUAUCAAACGGAUUUCUAUUUCAAACUUAUUCAAAAAAAUAGAGAAAUAAAAAUUUUAUCAUGUACCGCAGCUUAGCUUAAGACCUAGAAAAAAUUGGAGAGAGAGAGAGAGAGAGGAAACAUUGGAGACGCGAGAUGUGAUGAACGAGAAACAGUCUUGUCGUGAUGAAGUGGCAGCUGCCCCAGCCAGUCAGCCAGGAGAAAAUAUUGGGUACCUAAUAGUGCCACGCAAUCCGUGCUCUGAAUCAUUCAUUGCGUGACACCUGUCCAUGUGUCAGUCCACGUCGGCUCCCUCUUCUCUCUCACGUCGUUCUAAUUUAAACCAACGCGCGGGCAUUUAAAAAAGUGGAAAGGGAAUUCUCUCUCCCGUCUUCUCUCUCCUCUUUACUCUCUCUUCCUCCUCCGACGCUCCUUCCGGUCUAGCGAUUCCUCCGACGACCGUCGCUCCCUCCGACGACGGCCUUUCUCUCUCCACUCGACGGCCUCAUCUCAGCAGGGCUCCAUUCUCUCGUCGCACUUCUUCCUAAAUCGCGCUCUCUCCCGAUGGCCGAUUUCGCUCGCCUCUCUCCGUCCCCCGACUCGCGACCGAGAAGCAAUCGCUCGGCUGGUGCCGUGGUUUCUCUGUCGUUUUCCGAGAAGCCUCACUUCAAUUCCUUGCUCUGUUCGUCCAGCGAGUGCCAUGUCCGAAGACCCUUUGGGCUUUUAGAAAGUGGGUGCGUGAAAAGGCGCGGCCUUAGGAGGAGCCUGAGCAGCUUCGUGACGUCUGCCAUCGCCACGCCGAACUCGGUGCUGAGCGAGGAAGCUUUCAAGAAGUUGGGGACCGGUGGGUUCUCGGAGAGCGAGGUUGACGCGAGUGAGGAUGAGGGCGGCUUCGUGUCUGAGGGCGGCGAGGCUGAGAGUGUGAGCGAGGACGAGCUAGCUCUCUCCAAGCUGGGUUUGCCUCAGAGGCUCGUGGAAUUUCUUGAGAAACGUGGCAUUACCCAUCUCUUUCCCAUUCAAGUAUGCUUUAUCCUUUGUUUCCUUCCCCUAUGUUAUCCAAUAUUUUCGCUUUGGUAUGAAUUGCUGUUGUUUAUUGCUGGCUGAGUUUUCCUUUGUUUGAGCAUACUUAGUUGGCUGGAAAAUUAAGUAGAAAACCUUGACCUUUGUUAAUGUGCUAGGCGAACCACGGAUGGAGUUAAGUGCAGGCAAUCAUAAUAGGUAUUCUGGGAUGUUCUGUCGUAGCUUACAUUAGAUGACUAUCCUAUGCUGAAAAUCGAGCUGUUCAACACUAAGAUGUUGUUGGGACUAAGGCUUUACACAGGCAGAAUUCGUUUUUUUAAUCGACUCGAUAUUUGGUUUCUUUACUUUUGCUAGCACUAGGAUAGUUCACUCAUCACUCAUUACUUUUCCCCCUUCAUUGUUCACUCUACUAAAGUUUCAUCAUGUUUUCAAUGGCAAACUCAUGUUCCUUGUACUAUUCUGUGAUUGUUAGAGAGCGGUGUUAACCCCUGUGCUUGAAGGGUGUGAUUUAAUUGCUCGUGCGAAGACUGGAACGGGGAAGACUUUAGCUUUCGGGAUUCCAUACUGAAGCGUCUUACUGAUGGUGAUGAACAUAGAAGUCCGAGGUAUUUGAGUAAUAAUUUUAAUUAUCUUGGUGACCUCCAAUGUUUGAGCAUUUUUCUAAUGACAGAUUAUACUGUAAAUGUCUCUUAGAUGUGGGCGACUUCCUAGAGUUUUGGCCUUAGCACCAACAAGAAAAUUAGCAAAACAAGUAGAGAAAGAAAUUAAGGAAUCUACACCUUACUUAAACACCGUGUGUGUUUAUGGUGGAGUUUCUUACAUUACCCAACAAAGUGUCCUUUCCCAGGGGUUCGAUGUAGUUGUCAGGACUCCUGGUCGAAUCAUUGAUUUGAUCAACGGUAACAGCCUUAAAUUGGGAGAAGUGGAAUUUUUGGUACUUGAUGAAGUUGAUCAGAUGCUUGCCGUUGGUUUUGAGGAAGAUGUGGAGGUGAUCUUGGAAAAGCUUCCCUCACAGCGACAGAGCCUGCUUUUCUCUGCCACAAUGCCUGGUUGGGUGAAGAAACUGGCGAGAAAGCACUUGACAAUAUUGCUUGCAGGCACUAGCAAGCACACUUGAUGAAGAGGAACUUGCUGACCUCAAGGAUCAAUUUGCUGCAAUUGAUGUAGAUAAAAAUGGUUCUAUUAGUCUUGAAGAAAUGAAAGAGGUAUCCAUUUCUUUCUCAUUCCACAUUCACUCUGAUGAAUAUUUUAAUUACAUCAUGAUCAUGAGCGUUGUAUGCAUGCAGGCCCUUGCUCAGGAUCUUCCCUGGAAGAUGAAGGAACCACGUGUCUUAGAGAUUCUUCAAGCGGUAACUUUUAUCUUUACCUUUGUUAUGGCCUUCUUUUCUCCUUGUGUAUUAGCAAUUGAGAUUUGUUUUUCUGGUGGGUUUUGUGGAAUACCAUUUCUGUCAGUUUCACGUUCUUCUUUUAUUGUUUUGGUGAUUCUCUUUUGUUCAUAUUCGAUGCUUGAAGCUUCCAUUUAGUUCUUGCUUCAUGUUUCAUCAUUUUGAAAACUUGCUUGUGUUGUUAGCCAAGAAAUGUUGGACUAAUUUUUUGUUCAUAAGAUGAGCUGCUGCCAAGCUUAUAGAUUUUGCACAAACAUGUGAGUCCUGAAUGGUGCAUAAGAAUCUCUUUUAUUUUUCCUUCAUGUAGAUCGAUAGCAACACGGAUGAGCUAAGUGGAUUUUACUGAGUUUGUUGCAGCUACUCUUCAUGUGCAUCGAAUGGAGGAACAUGACUCAGAGAAGUGGCAGCUGCGGUCACAGGCCACUUUUUGAAAAAUUUGACAUUGAUCGUGAUGGUUAUAUAACCCCAGAAGAACUUCGACUGGUAAUUUUGACUAUCUUCAUUUAUUCAUCCCUUCCACAUUCAUUUGCCCUCUAGUUCUCAUUUGUGUCACUAUGGGUAUGGGUAGAGUGAAAAUUAAAUUACGUAGACAGGGCUAAAUGUAUUUGUUUUAAUUUGUAACUGAAUUUUGACCCUGUCUCUUGGGAGCUUGAAGUUUGUUUCUUGCAAAAUUGCCCAAAAGUUGGGAUAAGUUCUGUCUUUUUGCAUAUUGGGCACAAAAUAGUAGCAUAGCUACUUUCUGUUGCAGCUUCACAUAAAGAAACUGUUCAGCUUGUGACCUUGAUAAUUUGGUUAUUGUCUCAUCUGAAAAUACUAGCCAAAUGUAUUGCCUCUUGUUGUAUAUUCUGCUCAAAGUAGUGGCGCAGGUUUUUUAUGUUGCUUGGUACAAAGAAAUGGUUAAGCAUGUUAACGUGUAACCUUGACAUGAUGCUCCCAUGCCCUUUUUAGCAGACAGGUUUGAAAGGCUCCCUUGGUCCUCUGCUAGAGGAAGCCAACGUCGACAAAGAUGGGAAAAUAAGUUUAUUGGAGUUCAGAAGGCUGUUAAGAACUGCAAGCAUGGGCUCUCAAAACUUGCCGAGCCCAUCUGGUUAUUGGAAUUUGAGGAAGAUAUAGAUCCAUUAUGGAGCUUUUGGGUGUUAAAAAGAGAGGAGGGAGCACGAGACAGGUUACGUAUUUUGGUUACUCAAGAUAUACCGAGCCAACCAUGAUGACCGCCUCUGUACUCCGCUCCAUUGCCAGUGGAAAUCCCUGUACAAAAGUUAGUAUCAAGGGAUUUUGCAUGGCACCCCAAGUUAGCCGAGAAGUGCUUGAGGAUGAAGGUUUGGAGAGAUUGCUGGCUGUGGUCGUUUACUUGGUGAGAGGGAAGGGCUAUACGGGCGUACGUCUUCUAAUGAGUGGGAUGUGUAGGCUGCGAGUGUAUAUUUAACGCCCUCGAAUUUGGGGGCCUGUUCUAUUAUAGAAUGGGCAAUGCUUUUUUACUUGUAAGGCCUUCUCUUUUCCCAAUUUUUUUGGCAUCGCAAAUGAAUUAAGUGUAAACAUUUUUCAGUCUCUCUCAGAGAUGGGCAAUGCACCUGCUUUUCCUGUGAAUUAUUUAGAGAUGUAUGCUGAGCAGCCAUUAACGAAAAUAAAUUGAUCAUAUUAUUUAGGGUGAUGCUUCUUGGUUUCAAGAGCCAUUCAUCAUCGCGUUGAAUCAUGGCCAAUAGAAUAGCGAAUGUAGGAGGUGAUGCGCAGAACAUAAAGAAUUCGCCUUUUUCUGCUCCGGUCAAUGAUGUUGGGAAUACCCAAAAGCAUAUGCUAGCUCACAUCUCCAUCGGUACACUGAUUCGUUACCUCUUGACGACAGCAUCUCUAGAGACUUUUUUAUCUAAUAACCACCAGGGCAUCACAAAUACACGAUGCGAAUGACUCAUGUAGGAUUACAACCUGGCUUAUGCCUCAUGGCAGGUCAAAAGUCGCAAGAUAGUUUGGAUGCAAAACAGAAGCUCCAAUCAAUUAUGUCAUGGUUGCUGGAGCUAAACCCUUAAAAAAGUAAUGAAUGUGCCCUUCAUUGUAGGGGUGAGCAUGGUCCGGGUUGGUCCGGGCCACCCCCUAACCCUAGGACCAACCCAUACAGUGUCGGUCCUCAAUUUUUAGGACCGAGGACCGACCCUAUUAAGUCUAGGACCAAGGACCGGACCGACCCAAUGGGUUCGGUCCGAUUCCAGGGUUAACCCGGGACCGAUCAAUAAUUUUUUUCGUCUUAUUUUUUAUACUCCCUAAAAAAACAAACCUACAAAUUUAAAUUACACAUCCAUCGAUAAUGCGGCAUUGUGCAACUAAACUAUAAAUACCAAUACAUAUUUAGUAAAUUUAAGAUGACAUAAUAACUUACCUGUUAACCGCUCAUCGAGAUAUGGGACAAGAUGGAAAGUUCUUGUAAUCAUCUAUCUUUAAUAUUCAUAACACCAUAUGCAAAAGCGUUUUCCUGCAUUUGAUUGUAGAGUCCACUCAACCAAAAAAUAAGCUUCACACCACUUGACUAGCAAAUCACCGUAACAACUGCAGUACUACUCUACUCUUCAAAAAUUUCUACCAUUUGACACAAAUUAAAAAGUAAAGUGCAACUGAAAUUCAUUAAUAAAAUACAAUUAAACCAUAAAAAGUUCAAAAUACUUAAUAUAAACCAUGAAUAUAUAACUUCACAUCUUGUUAAUUCACUUGAACUUCUAAAUACCUGAAAACAAAACAAACAACACAUAAUUAAUACUCAACAAAAGUUUUAAAUUGAAAUUACUAUUAGUGCUAUUGAUAGAACAUCUCAAUAUAAUAUAAUAUAACAGACAUUUUAUUUAGGUUUGAAUAUAUAAAAGAAUUAUAAGUAAUAUAAUAAAAUAUACACGGUUGGUCCAGGAUUGGACCGACCCAAAACUUUUAGGACCGAGGACCAACCCGCACAGUAUUGGUCCUGGAGUUUCAGGACCAAGGACCGACCCGGUCCCCUUGGGAACCGGACCAGGACCGGCAGGGUUGGGCCGGUCCAGGGUCGGUCCAGGGUCGACCCUAGACCGCUGCUCACCCCUACUUCAUUGUUCAAGUUUCAGGCAUAUGCUCUGAAAUCUGUAUAAACUAAAAAAAUUCCCUGUAAGUUAAGCAAACGCAACAUAAUAUACAACUGACCAGCCUCGGGGUACAAACUACGAAAGGACUAGAAAAUGAGUUAGGCCUGUAACAGGAAAAGAAAAUUGUGGCAUUAAGAUUUUCUGGACUCAACUCUUCAUCUACUGGACUUUGGGUUGUCACUAACACUAUUGGAGGAACUAUCUGGAAAAGCCUGAGAUGAGGAAAGCUUGCUUGAGGAGCUCCCAUCAGUAAAAUACUUAUCUCCUUCCUCUGGGUCUGCUUGCCCUUCUUUUCUCCGGACGUCAAGUCCUGCAUAAUAUAUACUGUUAUGCAUAUUGUGCCAAUUUACAGAGUAGAUCUAGCUCUGGUUCAGAAUAUAAAAAAAAAACCUGAUGUGAUGAUGUUCCAGGCAUCUUAAGUUCAAGGUCUGUUGCCACGUCAUUUGAAUCUUCGUCUUGCUCUGCAAUGCUGCCCCUUUGAUGAUCUGAAGACCUGCUUUUGGAGUCUUUUUUAUUUGACACGUGAGAAGUGGAAGCAUAUUGGGUUGACUGCUGUUCAAAUGUGGGAUUGGCAGGCAUUGAAUUUGGGAUAAAGGUAGAACACGGAGCAGGAAUAGCACUUGCAUUCUGAUUUCCAAAGAAAGGGAAAGGCUGAAGUUGUGAGAGCAUGGGUAUUGGACCUGGAGUGACGGGUAUUGGAACUGGAUAUGAGUAGGCUGGACCCAUGACGACGGAUGGAUCCAUGGCAGCCCAAGGGUACAUAACCCUCGUCCUUUGCUGGUACUGGACAUUAAGAUUUUCAACUUCAGAUUUUAAAGAUGAUUUCUCUUCUCUGAGCUCAUUCUUCUCCUGCAUCAGCUGGUUGUAAUGCAAAGUUACUAUUAGCAUCAAGGCAAACAAUGGACAUUAGAACCUCAGGAUACUGGAUGAAGAUCAAAUCACCUCACGAGAUUCUUCAAUAAGAGCUGCACAUUCAGCUUUCAAUUUGUUAACUUCCAUGGUUAAAUCCUUCAGCACCUGGAUUGUGUCCGUAAGAAUGGUUGCCUUGUCAUUCUUAGGUCAAUCAGGAUCUGUAGUUCAUAUAGGAAAGGCAAAAGCAGUUGUUCAAAAGUCUAGCAUGAACAAAAGGCAGCUCUAAUUACAGAGAAACAGCACAUGCUAAAUAAUAUAACCACAGCAUUUAUGUCCCUGUAGUAGCAAACCAAUGCAAUGAUUUUGUAUAAUGCCUCCUUCCCAAAUACCCUUUUGAUGAGACUUCGAUUUUGUUUCUCCACGGUUCAUCUGGAUCAGAUUAAGAAGCCAUGGGUGGAACAUCUUUUAGCCUCUGAGAGAAGAAAGUUUGUCUUUGAACAUCUUCUGGCUAAGCGCGUUCAGCAUCGCUCUCAACUACUGGCGUGAAGCCAUUUUCUAGUCCAUGGCCGUUUUCAUCAUGGCCUUGAAUUCAUCAUAACUGAUUCGACCGUCCUGGAAUACAUCCAUCACAGAAUGAGCACUCUAUUUCGUAUAUGAACAAGAUAUACACAGAUUCCAAAUUGCAGGUUGUUCUGGUUAUGUAUUACCUUAUCUAGAUCAGCAUUGAAAAUGAUGUCUUCAAUAAAUUUUUCGUUGUUCGGACCAAGAUUGUCAUCUAUCAAAGCUUCUUUCAACUCAUCGAAUUCAAUAUAUCCGCUUCAAUUCUUGUCAAAGAAUUCAAAAGCUCGAAUAAGGUGGUCAUUGUUGCCAAUCCUUCUCGAGUGGACUGACAUAGUCACAAACUCCUUUAAGUUCAGUGUUCCGCUUCCAUCUUCAUCAGCCUGUUCUCAUAUAAGAUGGAGUUCUAUUUUUAGAUGCUAAUACAAGAAAUCGUGACUCAUCAGCAUCUGCACAUCAGGAUCAGCAACUUGCUGUCCAUAUUUGUGCAGGCCAUGUUUCAACUCUUCAAAUGUCAGAUCUCCAUUUUUAUUGGUGUCCAUCAUGUCGAACAGCUCUUUCAUAUGAUCCACUUGCUCAUCAGGCAAAUUGUCUACUACUACCUACAUUAACAAUGUGGGAAACACAAUUCGAGUUUAACUUUGCACUAAGAACAGCAAUGAAAUUCGUGUUGCUAUCGAUCUACAUGAAGGAAAAAUAAAAGAGAUUCUUAUGCACCAUUCAGGACUCACAUGUUUGUGCAAAAUCUAUAAGCUUGGCAGCAGCUCAUCUUAUGAACAAAAAAUUAGUCCAACAUUUCUUGGCUAACAACACAAGCAAGUUUUCAAAAUGAUGAAACAUGAAGCAAGAACUAAAUGGAAGCUUCAAGCAUCGAAUAUGAACAAAAGAGAAUCACCAAAACAAUAAAAGAAGAACGUGAAACUGACAGAAAUGGUAUUCCACAAAACCCACCAGAAAAACAAAUCUCAAUUGCUAAUACACAAGGAGAAAAGAAGGCCAUAACAAAGGUAAAGAUAAAAGUUACCGCUUGAAGAAUCUCUAAGACACGUGGUUCCUUCAUCUUCCAGGGAAGAUCCUGAGCAAGGGCCUGCAUGCAUACAACGCUCAUGAUCAUGAUGUAAUUAAAAUAUUCAUCAGAGUGAAUGUGGAAUGAGAAAGAAAUGGAUACCUCUUUCAUUUCUUCAAGACUAAUAGAACCAUUUUUAUCUACAUCAAUUGCAGCAAAUUGAUCCUUGAGGUCAGCAAGUUCCUCUUCAUCAAGUGUGCUUGCUAGUGCCUGCAAGCAAUAUUGUCAAGUGCUUUCUCGCCAGUUUCUUCACCCAACCAGGCAUUGUGGCAGAGAAAAGCAGGCUCUGUCGCUGUGAGGGAAGCUUUUCCAAGAUCACCUCCACAUCUUCCUCAAAACCAACGGCAAGCAUCUGAUCAACUUCAUCAAGUACCAAAAAUUCCACUUCUCCCAAUUUAAGGCUGUUACCGUUGAUCAAAUCAAUGAUUCGACCAGGAGUCCUGACAACUACAUCGAACCCCUGGGAAAGGACACUUUGUUGGGUAAUGUAAGAAACUCCACCAUAAACACACACGGUGUUUAAGUAAGGUGUAGAUUCCUUAAUUUCUUUCUCUACUUGUUUUGCUAAUUUUCUUGUUGGUGCUAAGGCCAAAACUCUAGGAAGUCGCCCACAUCUAAGAGACAUUUACAGUAUAAUCUGUCAUUAGAAAAAUGCUCAAACAUUGGAGGUCACCAAGAUAAUUAAAAUUAUUACUCAAAUACCUCGGACUUCUAUGUUCAUCACCAUCAGUAAGACGCUUCAGUAUGGAAUCCCGAAAGCUAAAGUCUUCCCCGUUCCAGUCUUCGCACGAGCAAUUAAAUCACACCCUUCAAGCACAGGGGUUAACACCGCUCUCUAACAAUCACAGAAUAGUACAAGGAACAUGAGUUUGCCAUUGAAAACAUGAUGAAACUUUAGUAGAGUGAACAAUGAAGGGGGAAAAGUAAUGAGUGAUGAGUGAACUAUCCUAGUGCUAGCAAAAGUAAAGAAACCAAAUAUCGAGUCGAUUAAAAAAACGAAUUCUGCCUGUGUAAAGCCUUAGUCCCAACAACAUCUUAGUGUUGAACAGCUCGAUUUUCAGCAUAGGAUAGUCAUCUAAUGUAAGCUACGACAGAACAUCCCAGAAUACCUAUUAUGAUUGCCUGCACUUAACUCCAUCCGUGGUUCGCCUAGCACAUUAACAAAGGUCAAGGUUUUCUACUUAAUUUUCCAGCCAACUAAGUAUGCUCAAACAAAGGAAAACUCAGCCAGCAAUAAACAACAGCAAUUCAUACCAAAGCGAAAAUAUUGGAUAACAUAGGGGAAGGAAACAAAGGAUAAAGCAUACUUGAAUGGGAAAGAGAUGGGUAAUGCCACGUUUCUCAAGAAAUUCCACGAGCCUCUGAGGCAAACCCAGCUUGGAGAGAGCUAGCUCGUCCUCGCUCACACUCUCAGCCUCGCCGCCCUCAGACACGAAGCCGCCCUCAUCCUCACUCGCGUCAACCUCGCUCUCCGAGAACCCACCGGUCCCCAACUUCUUGAAAGCUUCCUCGCUCAGCACCGAGUUCGGCGUGGCGAUGGCAGACGUCACGAAGCUGCUCAGGCUCCUCCUAAGGCCGCGCCUUUUCACGCACCCACUUUCUAAAAGCCCAAAGGGUCUUCGGACAUGGCACUCGCUGGACGAACAGAGCAAGGAAUUGAAGUGAGGCUUCUCGGAAAACGACAGAGAAACCACGGCACCAGCCGAGCGAUUGCUUCUCGGUCGCGAGUCGGGGGACGGAGAGAGGCGAGCGAAAUCGGCCAUCGGGAGAGAGCGCGAUUUAGGAAGAAGUGCGACGAGAGAAUGGAGCCCUGCUGAGAUGAGGCCGUCGAGUGGAGAGAGAAAGGCCGUCGUCGGAGGGAGCGACGGUCGUCGGAGGAAUCGCUAGACCGGAAGGAGCGUCGGAGGAAGAAGAGAGAGUAAAGAGAGAGAGAGAAGACAGGGGAGAGAGAAUUCCCUUUCCACUUUUUUAAUGCCCGCGCGUUGGUUUAAAUUAGAACGACGUGAGAGAGAAGAGGGAGCCGACGUGGACUGACACAUGGACAGGUGUCACGCAAUGAAUGGUUCAGAGCAUGGAUUGCGUGGCACUAUUAGGGUACCCAAUAUUUUCUCCUAUAACAGAGUAUACUCACAAUGAUCACAUUUUCUUAUAUACUCACAAUGAUCACAUUUUCUUAUCUAAAGAUAAUAGAAACAAGAACAGUCAUACCAACGAGAAAAUAUUCAGUGGUUCGUGCGCGCCACGUCAUCUGCGGACGUGGCGCGCAUGAACCACUCAGAUAUCAACACCUGUCCCGAGCGGGACCCUCUCGAAAAUGAGAAAAGGGCUGGUUUUUGAUCGGCUCGGCUCGGCUCGAAAGGACGGUCGGCGUAUUCCUCCCGCUCAAAAUUUUGUCUCUCCUCUCCCCUCGUAAAAGAACCAAGAACGUUCAGAGGCUCUAUUUCCUUCUCCACACAUCCCACCUCCUCCGCCUCCGCCUCCGCCUCGGCCUACCCAAAAGCGUCGCUGGUCAUCUGCCUCUGGCAUCUCGGUCUCGUUCUCGAGCGGCACCAGGCUCCCCGCCGCUGACCGGGCGCUGUCCCCGACGCUGGCCCGCUCGGUCGCGAGGGAGAUCUGGGCGGACUUGGGCGGGGUCGACGGCGCGGCGAAGAAGGAGAGACCUGCUGCAUUUUCUCUCUCUAUUUUUCAACGGAGCGCGCGCUUUUCUUUCCGCUUCUGCCUCUCUCUUCCUCAAGCACUCCUCUCCUCUCUGUCCCAAGCCCUCUCACUCACCCCAAGCGCCCCCCUCCUCGCCUCUCUCGAGCCCUCUCACUCACCCUAAGCACUUCCCUCCUCGCCUCUGUCCUCGUCGCCGUCAUCGACUUUCCAGCCGCGGCUCCAGAAAUCGCCGGCUGCCGACUGGCCUCUCGAGCUUCUUUGUCUUCUACUCCUUAUUCGGUCCCGAUUUCGGGCUCGAGUACGUAGCCAAGGAUUUUGAAGCAAAAGAGGUUUGCGAGGCUAGAUAUACUGGUGGCGGUGCUAAGUUUUGGGGUUUCGGCAACGCCGUGAUGGCUGCGAGGGAUAUUGUGGUGGAGGAGAGAGGCGUAUGGGUACCGUGAGACCUCUCUUUCUCCUUUGCCUUUUUUUUCUUUUCUAUCGCCUCUGUUUCAGGAGGCAUGGAGGCCUAGUGAUAGUGGCUGUUUUGGCUUCUAGGUUGAGCCAGAGUCGGAUAGCUUAUCAGGAGGCUGAGGGGAGAGUUCUUCAUCGGUCCUUUUGAAUCCUGAAGCAAGUCGCAUCCUGCCGUUCCCACCGGAGUAUUUGUCAUCGCGAUCUUUGGUAUGAAAGUUUUAACCUUAUUAUUGUUGCUGUGAGGAAGAGCGCAUGAUAGAUAAUUGUCCAUGGUCUGCACUUGUUACAAUUGGUUAUAAAGUAAUCAUUCUUUAGUGCCAGGAUCGUUGUUGAUGUGAAAACUAUAAUGCUCUUGUGACCUUUUGCACUUUGAAUACUUUUCACAUAUGUCCUGCACUCACAUCAUGUAUUCUAAUGUAUUCAAUUUAAAUAAAUCCCUACUAGUAGGAGAAUGAAGGGAAAAGGGUUGCCAUUUCCGUACUGCAGGAAGUAAACAUAUCUUCCUAGAAAAUCAGCUUAAUAGGAUUUAAGUAUCAUUAGUAAGUGUCAAAGCUGGAUGAUGAAAAAACCAUCGCUCUAAGACCCAAAGCUUUUGAAGUACAAUGGCAAGGUUUGCUUACCUUGGCAUGAGUAACAGCGACAUUGAUCCUAUGCCAAUCACCAAGUAGUGAGGAAUUGCAAUGAUUCCCCUCUUUGUUAGACCUCACAAAGGAAACCACUAUGCAAUCUUUAUGUCGUCCCUGGACAACAGUAACGGAAUGCUCAGUGUGAAAAUUAUACACUUCCCAAGAAAAAUACAAAAAAAGAAAGAGCAAGAAAAGAAAAAAAGAUAAGCAUUGAGGUGAGAAGAACACACAUUUCACAUGCUAGACUUGCUUAACAAAAUGAAUAUUGUUAACGAAUGCCAUUGCAGCAGUGGUCAAGGUUCAAGAACAUAUAUAAAAUCGUUAUCCUAUUUGAUGUAGGAAGUUUUCUCGUUAUCAUAUUUUGUAAAGUCGAACGUGUUACUUGCCAAACAUUCAUAAUUUGUUGGACAUUAAGAAAUUGAAAGCAUGCUGGUAACUUCGUCAAAUAUUUACUGCUGUUUAAAUUGGUAAGGUUUUAUAUCUGUUAAGAUACAAAUUUACUUUGUGCCACACUCUAACUAUUGAAGUAAACGAUUGUGCAUUUAGCUUCAAGUUGAUGGCAGAGUUAGAGUUCUUGAGUUUGAUUGCUAACUGUCGUCUGCAACCCGUUAUGGGUCUGCCUAUUCUUAUGCCUGCAAGCAUAGGGUUUGCAUGCCUAACGCCUUUGUCAUCAAAUCACCUUUGCAUGAGCAAAAAUAACCACCGCACUCUAACGGCUUAAGCUUUUGUAGUCGGUUGUGCAUGUAACCUCAAGUUUAUCAAUUGAUAAAUUCAAGUACCCUCUGGUACAUAACUUCAUGUUAUUGAAUUCUAAUGUAAAUGACUAGUUUACUUGGUAAAACAGACAGCUCCCAGUAGAACAUCUGAAAUGUCUGCAGUUGGUCGACUUCCUGCAGCCCUUCAAGUUCGUAAGCUUAACUUCUAAUCUCAUUGUGGUUAUAUUCUGACUUGACUCGAAGAGCAUAUUCAUUAGCGACUCCAACUUCAGGGGAUCGAUAUCAGAGAAAUGCUUGCUGGCGCAUCCUUCAUGGAUGGGACAACUAGGACGAAAGUGGUAAGAUUGCUGUCGACUGAUGUUAUUUGGUGUUUCGUCAGAAUGUUUUAUUGGUACCCAGUGGGGCAACUUAUGGUGUAAAAUCUUGCUUAGUGUGUAGUGCUUAGGAUUCUGCAUGUGCACUUUUAUGAUGUAAGAAGCUGGGUCGCCCGAAUUAACUAAGUAUGGUCGAGAUAUCAGUCUUGAUUAUAGAUAGCUAAUCAGGCAUUCAAGGAUGUCAGCUAACAAGUUGAACGGUUGUCUUUGAUAGUAUGCACUGUGAUGUAUGCAAGAGUAACUUGUGAACUUAUUAAGCAGGAGAAUUGUCACUUGUUUCCCAUCAUUAUGCACUGAGAAGAUUUUGUAGUAUAUGUGCUAGAGGAUGUCAUACAGUAUAAUUCACUGUAAAAUAGAGUGCAGAGUAUCCAUUAGAUCCAUUUAAGCUCACGACUGGCAAUUGCUAUUGUUGUCGCUUAGUUGCUUCAAGGCAUAUUCAUUUCUAGUUGCUGAUGCACUCUACAGUGAAUCAAAGUAUAGCCUUUUAGUUUCAUGCAUUUUGAUUUGUGCCUUCUCUUGUUGCCUGCUUGUAGUAUCAAUUUCGCAAGCAAUUCAAAUCCUUGUUCAAGAUGCAGAGUAAAUCUGCAAUGCAAGUCAGGGAGAUGAUCAUGUUUCCUUGUCCAGGAUAUCCAUUACUGUAGGUUGUCUGAAAAAGAACCACAGAUAUGUUCAUUUAGGGACUGAUAGCAUAUCCACAUUGUUUGCAUUCCUAGUUGUAAUUCCUUUCUCUGCUUGCAGUAUUAAAUUUGGCAGCAAAUAAAAUUCUCUUUAAGGAUACAGUCCCAUGUAAGUCUGGGAAUUAAUUAUGUUUUCUUGUCCAAGAUAUUGCUAACUUGUAUGUUGUGUCAGAAGAUCCACAGAAACAUUGAUGUAGGGACUGUAGAUUAACUUAGCAUGUCCACACUGUAUGUGCUUCCUAGAUUGUAAAUCCUUUGGCAAGAAACUUAUCAUUGUACUACUUUUGUCAAAUAAUCACAAACAUAAAUGUCAAGGCCUGUUUGGGGUAGCUGUGAGUUUCAGCUUGCCUUUCUGGUUUUAGCUGUGGGUUUUGAGUUUUUGGCUUUAACUUUGACUUUAAAGAAAUGAAGUUGAUAGAAGACAUAACUUCUAACUUGAAAGUGACUGGCUCAUUUUGAGAAUUUAAUAGUAUUGAACGCUGAACCUUAAAUCAUAGAUGUUUGGAUUCUUGGAUAAUUUUACUUCUAAAAUGAAGCAUAUAAUAACUUUUAGUGACCAAAAGCCAUAAUACCUGAUGUGCAGUCCCUAUCAUCCCCCCCUCGGUGCAAAAAACAAAAACGAAAAAAAAAAAAAAAACGAAAACACACACACAAAAGAAGAAGUUACAACAUAAGAACUAUCGGUAGUUUUCCUUAGCUGUCUGAGUGGCUUCUCUACUGGCACUGAUCAAAGGAUGGUUCUUGCCUUUUGUAGUCCUGUGUCAGCGGAAAUAACUUUUUUCUUUUCCAGGUGAAGAACAACCCUGCUGCAUUGCUUGCUUUAUGUUGGUAUUGGGCUUCUGAUGGUGUAGGAUCUAAGGUAUUAUAUUUGAAUGAGAGUGUCUUCCGAUUGUUGUUUUUUUCCCUUUUAGUUUGCAGUCAUUGACAAUUGUUUCACUUUUUAAAUUGCUGCUGUCAGGACAUGGUAAUUCUUCCUUAGAAAGACAGCCUUCUGUUAUUCAGUUGGUAUCUGCAACAAUUUGAUUUGGAUGGCAAUUGGGUAUGUAUUUGAUUUUUUGGUGAAAAUUGGGAGUUUUGUCUCCAUCUCUAGUUUCCAAAAUGUUAAAUCUCAAAUUGUUCAUUUCACAAGUCAAUCAAGGGCUUACUGUUUAUGGGAAUACAGGAAGCACAGAUCAGCAUGCGUAAGUUAUUUUUUGAUAAAGUAAUGCCACUAUUACUUUUACAUGCUGGUGACGUGAUUAUUCCCGAUGCAUGUUAUUGUCUAAUUUCCAUAUAGCUACAAACAACAGCUGAGAGAGGGUGUGCACAACUUCUUCAUAACAUUCAUUGAAGUGCUUUGUGAGAGACCACCUGGUCAUGAUUGGGAGCUUGAACCUAGUGUUUCCUGUGGUGACUAUCUGUUUGGAAUGCUUCAAGUUAGUUUACAAUAAGAGCUACUAAUAUUUACCUUUAAGAAGAUUCUAGCAAUAGUCGAAGUUCUUAUGUCUAUUGUUUCUGAAGUUUAAGAUCCCAGACUUCUCUUGGAAAGGAGACAUGAGUUCAGUGGAUGAUUUACUUAUAGUCACCGAGGCCAGGUAUCUUACUAGAACAAGCUUGUCUAAGAUGGAAACUAUCAGCUCUUAAGGAACGGGGAACACUUAAGAGAAACUGUUGAGUGGGGUGGUAGAAACAUGGAUAAGAAGAAAAGCAAGCUCGUAGGCAUUGCAGAUGAUGGACAGAAAGAGAUCCACAUUGAAAGGACAGAUGAAUUUGGCCAAAUAGUAAGUUUUCAACAAAAAAAAGAUAUUAAUCAUAAAGCCUUGUAAUACUAAAUUGUCCUUUAUAAUUUCUUUUGCGUCUGACAAAGAAACACCAAUUCAUUACUUUGAUGUUUUUAUGCCAAUCUUCUUGUUUUGAAUGUUUUGCAACAGUUAACCCCAAAGGAAGCUUUCCGAUUGCUUUCCCAUAAAUUUCAUGGAAAAUGGCCUGGCAAAAUGAAGCAAGAGAAGAGCAUGAAGCAAUACCAGGAAGAAUUGAAGUUGAAGCAGAUGAAGAAUUCAGACACGCCUUCUUUGUCUGCAGAGAGGAUGAGGGAAGCUCAAGCUCAAAUGAAGACACCUUAUCUUGUGCUUGGUGGUCAUGUUAAGCUUGGGUAUGUUUUCCUCUGUUAAAAAAUCAAGUUACUAGUUCUUUAUUCAUUGGCAUUUAAGUACAUAGCAUUUUAGAUUAAUCUGACUUUAUAAGAUGUCAAUGUGAAGUGUCUUGUUCCAUGACCAAAGUGCUUGACUGUCUUUUCGCUUUGCUGCUUCAAAUUUUCUAUUUAUCCCAAAUCCCUCAGAGCCUGGACUCUGCUGAGGUGAUGUUUCUGUUUGCUAAUAUACAGCUCCAUGGAUCACUGCAUGGAUGACUCUUUCCAGACUAUAUUUCCCCAGAUGUUUGGGGGGAAUCUCCAAUUUCAAGACUCGUGAAUUUGUUAACUUAAAAAUCAUAGCCUAUGACCAUGCAUUAUAGAUCAUCCUAUAGAUGUCUCCAUCUUUAUGCUUAAAAAGGCGGCACCUUAAUAGAAAUUUGAGUGGUCUGACUUGAUUGAUGAUAAACAAUCUAUAUCUGAGAAGACAAUCAGACACCAUCUAAUAAGUGUAAGCUGGACUUCAUGCAAUGUCUAUUUACCAUGGUAAUUGAAUGAUAAAAUAAUGAUUAGAUUUUUGUUACUUUGUGCCUGUUUAUUUAAUUGUUUUUUUUUUCUUUUUUCUUCAGGGGUGUUUCCAGUCAAAACAGUGAUCCAAGAAGUGGCUUUGCCACCAUUGAGAAGGAUCCGGGGAGCUUGACGCCCAUGCUUGGAGAUAGGAAGGUCGGUGUCAACCCAAGUUUGGAUGUAGUAUUACUCUUAUUUUAUUGCAAAAAGGAAAUUGGCCUGUGUUUGUUUGCACCAUAAUUGUUGACGCAAAUUAUCAAGAUGCAUCUCAGGUGCAAGGUUUUCUAUGUAUGCGGCACCAUCAGGCUAUCUUUUUAACACCACUUGGAAUAAUUUCUGAAGUAUUUGCCACCAUCAGAUCAUUUUUGUAAUCCUGCUUCCAGAUGUAUUUUAGACUAAGGUUACUAGACUUUUAGAAGAAAAGCAAGGUCUUAGGCAUCACGAUUUUAGUGAUAUUUUUAUCAAGCUGGGUUUGUCAAAAUGGUUGUAGGGCUUCUGUCUUCUCCUUUUGUUUUCUUUUACCAGGGAAUCUUUUUGUCUUGACUUUUAAGGCACCUGCCCUUGGUUCAUACUUCAUAAGUUCUGAUGUUUGGCUGUAUUCUAGGUUGAGCAUUUCUUGGGGAUAAAGCGGAAGCCUGAGCCUACUAACUUGGGAGCACCAAAGAAGCCGAAAACUUGAAGUGUUAUUGAUGGGUCUUCUAUUAUUUGUUGAGUUCGAGCAACUUACUAUUGGGGCUAGAAGUAACUUCAGGCUCUAGGCGUCAAUUGCAGCUCCCCAUUACAUUAUCCUAUAUACCUUUUAGCUUUAUCAACUAUGAAGAUCAAAAUAUAGAUGCUCUUGUUGCUUUUGAUGAUGUACUUAGACCUGUAGUGCCAACAAGACAGGCGGCAAUUUUUGAGAAUUCUUUGUUGCCCGAUAAUUGAAUGGCACCUUUAUUAGUGAUCUUCUUCAUUGUUACUGUUCCUAGAGAUGGUUGUGCAGAUUAUGUGAUUUGCAGGUGGCUAUUUCACAGAUGCUACUCUUGCUGUUAGACAAACGACUGAGCAAGUGAAAUGCUCUGCAUGUGUUUAUGGAAAGAUAAUGGCCAUCGGUGUAAACCUUGCUUUUAUUUGUUGCUAUAUGGGGGGCGUGAACACUUUUGCUUUGAUUUGUUGCUAUAUAUACUAUAUAUAGGGCAUGCUUGCUCGUGUGCAAAUGUGGUUAGGUGUGUGCAUGUCCUGCUUGUAUACAGCUGCGAUUGCAUGAUUUUGAGAACCUGUAAAACACUCAAGAUUCUUGUAAUGGGACAUAAUUAUUUUUCUAAAGGGGUAAAAGUCAUUCUUCUUAAAAGCUGUCAUCAUUUUUUUUUCUAUUUCAGUUCCAUAUCUCCUCCACUAUACGGUGUGGUUCUAUGACUGGGAAAGCAAGCCUACCGAGGAAUGGUUCUCAACAACUUAAUUGGUAUUACAGUACACAAUAAGAUGCAUUUAUCGGUAUCAAUUACUAGCAGAUUAAGCCUAACUUUGGAUUUGUCGAUUGAAGGUUCAUGAAUUAGAAAGGUCGCCGACUACUGAAUUUCUGUAAACCAAUAUGGCAUAAAAGGUCGGGCAAUGUGUCCUUUGUUCAUUUGGCUCACUAUAAAUCGGCGACUUCAUCACAAGUCUUUUAUCCAAUCUUCCCAAUACUCUUUUUGGAGAGCAUUUUGAGGAUAAAGGGUGGUUUUUCAUCAUUAGCCUUCCUCUAGCAUUCUGAAUUGUGUAGUGUUUGUGGGUCUCAAAAUUUUGUGUGGAAUAUGGUGUAAUCUUGCUCACCCAACAACGACAAUCAGUACAUUUUAGGUGUGGAAAAAUGUUCUCUACUUAAUUGGAUUUUAGUUCGUUCACCGGUGGACCGAGAGAAGGGAAAAAUCUAUUGGAAAUCAUCAUCAGCUGAGUUAGAUAUCGAAGUUGGGUUGAACAUUUAAAAGCAGGAAGUUGCCCAUAUGACACUCAUUUAUGUUAUGGUGACAUGACACUAUGUCAAAGCUGAGUUCCCUACCAUUUUACGACUGAUUGAAAUAAUCUAGAAAGCAAUAUUCAAUCGUGAACUCCUGCAAGUGAAAAAUAAUCUCCAAAGCAAAUUAUGAAUAGGAUUAAUGAAGAGAGCAUUCAACUGCACAUCAUCAACAAGGGCUUUGUUUAAGCAACGAAAAAGAAGGCAAGGCAUAUAUGCCUUGGCAUGGACAUACAACACCAGUCCAGCAACUAAUGACAGCACAAUUGUUUUUCCUCUAACCACAAACAGCACGAUUUUUUGAAUCAUAUACAAAUCUAUUGAACAACUACAAGAAAACAUUGACAACCAAGAUACAAAUUCAAAACAACAAAACAAUUUUGCCAGAUUGAGUUACAUAGACCCUUCACCCGGUCUGGUAAAGUAGCGCUAAAGAGCAGCGUCUGAACUUUACUUGUAUCCUCCACCUUGCCUACAAGAACUAGAAGAAUUGAAGGAUAAGUAUAUCCACAUCUAUCAGCAAUGUGGUUAAAUCGAAAAAGUCACAUAAUUGAGACAGAUUCUCCAAAUAUCUCAGGGGAUAAUCAAUUUUCAAACUGCAGCCUAGAUAAUACCUUACAUAAACCUACUAAGACAAGCCUCAAGCAAAGGAAUAGCAAUAUUGGUUUGAGCCCCUCUCAAUGUAUGCACAAUAAGAGAUAUGUUACACGUAGUAGAGAAUUUUAAAGGCACAAAGAAAAUAAAGAUCUUGCUCUAAAAAUAAGAUUUAAAAAUCUUUUUUUUAAAAAGUUCUAAGCAGCUGCAUGAUGCUGAAACUAAAAAAUCUAUUGUCAAAUAUCAAAAAAUAACAUCACUAGUAAUAAUGGUAAUUGCAAUAAAUAAGUAAAGCAUAUUUCCGCCAGAAACUUCAUAGGGAAAAAAAUUAGUACACAUACACCAAGAAUUGAUAAAGCUUGAGUUCUUGUGGACAGACAAGUAAUUUUUACACGGCUAACCAGAAGAGAAUCUAUUUCAUUUAUUCUUAUGACGAAGAUCAAAUGUCAACAGGUUCAGAGAAGUGCUAAAGAAAUGGCUGACUCGGAAUAAGCACCAUCUUGCUACUUACAAACUCAAAAAAUCCAACAACGAUGAGAGCCUGAGGCUGAAAAUCCUGAUGACGACCUCAUAAGUUUCAAACCUUGGCACUUCAGGUAUCAGCAAGUGAGAUCAGCUGAUUGACAACAGAUGGAUCUGCCAGUGUGCUGUUGUCUCCAAGCUUGUCUAAUUGCCUCGAGGCAAUUUUCCUCAGGAUUCUCCUCAUUAUCUUUCCACUGCGGGUUUUUGGUAGGCCCAAGAGAUUCAAGAAAAAGCAACAGCAAAACAUCUUAGAAGUAGAAAUUAUCCAAGGACAUUAAGGAUGGAAAUCCUGUUCCAGUAAAAGGCCCCAGUUGGUCAUUCAUGUUAUUCCACUAAGUUUAAAAUUACUUUCAAAGUCUAGGCCUGUACGCCAAAGGAGAGACGAAAGAGGAACAGGCACAUGCAUAAAGAGUAACUGAAAAGGCCAUUAUACAUUCCUUAUGAGAAAAGUCAAACCAAUGAAAGCAAACAUGGACACGAACAGUUUUCCCUGUUGUUCAGGAAUUAAGUUCAGGCUCAUCUUCUCCUAAAGGUCUGUCACAAGAGUAAAUAACAUGUAUGAAUUUCAUAUUACUUUUUUCGUUAAACUUCAAAUAACUUAAGUAAUUGACCAUAUUAAUUCCUUUUCCAUUGGCCAUACAACAACUGCUUAGCCAAGUUGGAACCCAGUUACAAUGACAUACAACUAUUAUGGGUAUAGUUUGAAGAACAGUAUGCAUCAACUUUCAAGCAAGGGAAAUUUUGAACCGCGGGAAAAUCUCAAAGUCUGCAGUCAUGAGGUGCCACACAGAAUUCCAAUGCUAUAUUGCAUGAGACAUUUACAGGAACAGAAUAAUUGAAACUGCAGAAAAAUUGUCUAAUGAGAAAAAGGAUGGUGAAAAAUACCAUCCAACUACCAAAACCUCACUAGAAAGAGGAAAAUCAUGAAAGGAUUAUGAAACUACAAAAAGAAAAAUAAAAAGACUAAUCCUGUUGUGGGGGAAGGGGAAGGGGGUCCAAGGUUGUAUCAUCAUUAGCUAGUAAAGGACAUCAACCAAAUGUAAUACAAGACAUCUAACAAGAAUGAGCGAAUCUCAUAUAAACACCAACUUGAGGGUUCCGUGAAACUCAAUACAUAUCCCCAUCGAAAUCCCCACCAGCUAUUUCAUCGGCCAAGGAGCGCGGUCCACUAGUAGGAAAAAUAUAGCAUACUUUGAAUUUCCAACUUUUGUUUCCAGAGGUUCCACAAAUGUAGCGUUCAAAACAUGAAUAUCUCCGAAGUGCAAACUAGGAUUGCGGUAUACUAAUACCUUCCCUGAAAUUUGUCCACUGUCACUGCAUUGAUGAUUUGAGCAAACUAUUAAAUAGUAAAGACACCCAAAACAGCAUUAUAGCAUCAAAGCCCAAUAGGUAAUUACACAUUUUCCCCAAAGUUGUGAAUAUCAAACUCAAACAUGGGUUAACAAGAACAGAACCAGAGAUGGGAUGUCAUCAAAGCAAUAUAACACCAUUGAUGUCUAAAUCCAAGGACCAGAUAUGGAGGCAUGUAACUAAAUUAAACAUCUAAGCCCCAGACAAGCAUAGCUAUAGUUAUUAAUUGGCAAGCUGAUUAAAUGAAUAAGAAAAAGCACUUACAAAUGGCAUUAGAAAAGUAGGAUAAGAUGAUGAUUAUUUUAACAAUUAAAAAAAAAAAAAAACUAUGUGUAUCUAAUAGUUGUGAAGACUAACCUUUUACUUAAACCAUAAAACAUGAUUUUAUUUGGAAACAUGAACAAUAGCAAAUCUUUUAAUCAGUUGCCUUAUAAGACAAAAGACCUAUAAAACAGAAUACUCUAAUGGAUCGUAAUGAAGAUACUAAUCAGUUAGAGCUUCUCGUUUACUAGAGAAGACACUAUUUGCAUCUCCCAGAGCAUUCUUCACCAUGUCCAAAAGAAAUUCAUUAGGGACCCCGCCAUAGCUUAAAAGUGCAAUCAAAAUCUUUGAAAGAUAUGCAGGCUUUGGUUUAUUACUGCAUCAAUGAGGACCAAGGUCUAAUCAGUUCUUCCGAAAAGGUAAAAUUUGAUGGCAGAAAAAGCUCCAAACAAAAAGCAAUGGGAUUUAGUAUUUCACAAGAAAAACAUGUCCCAUGUUCAAAUUAAACUGCUGAAAGAACAAGAAAGCCGCUAACUUUUCAGUCUGUUUAUGUAAGGGUCUUUUAACCAGCUAACUCCAAAGGAAAUAUACCCUUGUUUACUUGUCUUCAUGGUAUUAGGGUUCAUUAAAUAGUCUGUAAAUUAAUAUUUUAACAGUGAUGUUUGUUGGUGAGGAAGACAAUCCAGGACAUGAAGUUGCUAAAGCAGGUAAAUAAAUCUGUUGUUGCACAAUUAUGAUUAAUCAGUGCCCCAUGACACUAAAGCGUGGAACAUCUCAUUGCAGUGAAGAUUAGAGAUAUCCUUGACAUUGAAGCAAUUAAAAUCUGCAAAGAGGACUUCUGGCCCUGGCUGUUCAUAAUAUCAUAUCUGAUAUUCUUAUGUCUAAGAAGGAAUUGCAACCUUGUUGAGCAAUUCAAAUGCAGCAGGAUCUUGUUCGAUGGUACAUGAACUUACAUGCAUGUGUUAUGUACAGGUGAUCAAAAGGGAGAAUGAGGUCCACAAUCAACACAGGAAAACGAAUGCUUGGAAAGGCCAAGACCAUGGAGAAAAAGUCCCGAUGGUACUUACCACAAAUGCCAUCAUUUACUCUCGAAGAAAAUAUAAUGACAGGAACAUGUCCUGCAUUCCGACAAUAAAAUUUUCCAUUUGGGCAUGCUGAUGUUCCUGCAUUAUCGAGUCAGAGAAAGUGAAGUUACAAUUAGAAAAGUACGUAGCUCUAGUGGUGGACACUACAAGAAAUCUGCAGACAUACAUGAGAUGUUCUAAAGGAGGAGACAAAGCCGGGUGAAAGUAACAGUGUCAUUUAGAAUAGUCUAAACAUCAAAGCAGGUCCAGAUAUGGACACUACUAGGUGUUUCCACACAUACUAUGUUCUAUAAGAAGAAAUAAAGCCUAGGAUUACUAACAGUCUUUUUUGGAUAAGUAAUAUCUAAAACCAGUACAAGCCUAACAAAAAGAAACCCAUGGUUUGUGAUAAGCACAAUACAACUGAACUAACAUGAGUCCAGCUGAGCUUGUUGAUGUACCAUCAUUACUAAUAUAUCAAUGGAGAGCAUCGCUCAACUAUGCCAGUUUAUGGAAUUUGGCCAGACCAUCCCAUAUAAACUGAAUACAUUUCUUUGCUCUUCAAAAGCAUUUAUAUCAAAUAAAGCAAUCCGCAGUUUUGCUGAUCUAUGAUGCAAAACUGAUUAUUCAUGACAAUUACCAAGGAAAAUAUUAUGUCCUCAUAAUAUACCCGCCAAGUUCGUAAUAUCUGGUGAAAUUGCUUAAGGUAACAAUUCGUCUGCUUCGUUCGGCAAGAAAGAAAACUGGGAGUUCUUCAUAUGCAUCUCAUCAAAUGAACAAGACAGACAUCAAUGAAAAGAAGGGCGACAGUGAUUCAUGAAUUUACUUCUAUCUCCUCCCAGUUUCGCCCCAGGGUGGUCUAUGGCCCAAAAAGAAGUAUUUAUUUUACUAUUUCCAUUAUUUAUCAUAUUCAUAAUCUCUGUCUUUAUUUCCCUUCCGUUGCAUCAACUCAUCCAUCUAAACACGAUGCAAGACGUGAGAACAACCAAUAAAUUCAAGGACAACAGCAAAAACUAAUUACUCUAAAAAAAGGCUCAAAAAGGACCUGGCUCAUCUGUCCCAUUUGGGCAGUCGCAGAAAUCGUCAUUGACCUGGGCUCUGGUGAAUUUCUUCGACCCAUCCUUACACUUGAUCCUGUUCGAUGAACUGUAAUAUUUCACAUCUGGGUAUCACGCAGACUGUCAUCAGUCACCCAACCACAGCCUCCAAAAGUCAAAACCCCUCACCCCACCCCACCCCACCCCACCCACUACAGCGAGCUCUGUCCAAUAAAAAAAACUUUACAAACGAGGCACCCAAAAGAAAGCGGCGGGCUCGAACCUUCAAGAGCUAUCCCAAGAAACGGGUCUUUGGGCGGCGAAGUCGAGGACGACACGCGGAGAGAACCGUUGGACAGCAGGACCAAUUCGACGACGGAGAUGAAAACGGUCGGCGAAUUCAUGUCCGGAGGAAGCGUUAGAAAAGAGCUGGAACUCAGAAAUAAAUUCUUCGAUGUGCCGGUGCCGGUGCCGGUGCUCGACCGUGAUCUUGGAAGUUCAUUGGUCGCGGCGAAACCCCAAAACUUAGCACCGCCACCGGUAUAUCUAGCCUCGCAAACCUCUUUUGCUUCAAAAUCCUUGGCUAUGUACUCGAGCCCGAAAUCGGGACCGAAUAAGGAGUAGAAGACGAAGAAGCUCGAGAGGCCAGUCGGCAGCCGGCGAUUUCUGGAGCCGCGAGGAGGGAAGCGCUUAGGGUGAGUGAGAGGGCUCGAGAGAAGCGAGGGGGGGGCGCUUGGGGUGAGUGAGAGGGCUCGGGACAAAGAGGGGAGGAGUGCUCGAGGAAGAGAGAGGCAGAAGCGGAAAGAAAAAGCGCGCGCUCCGUUGAAAAAAAGAGAGAAAAUGCAGCAGGCCUCUCCUUCUUCGCCGCGCCGUCGACCCCGCCCAAGUCCGCCCAGAUCUCCCUCACGACCGAGCGGGCCAACGUCAGGGACAGCGCCCGGUCAGCAGCGGGGAGCUUGGUGCCGCUCGGGAACGAGACCGAGAUGCCAGAGGCAGAUGACCAGCAACGCUUUUGGGCAGGCGCAGGCCGAGGCAGAGGCGGAGACGAAGCCGGAGCCGGAGACGGAGGCAGAGGAGGUGGGAUGCACGGAGAAAGAAGCAGAGGAAGGCUCUGAGCGUUCUUUUUUCCUUUACGAGGAGAGGAGAGAGAACCGGCCAUUCAAAUGAGGAGAGAGAAAAAUUUUGAGCGGGAGGAAUUAGCUAACCGUCCUUUCGAGCCAAGCCGAGCCGAUCAAAAACCAGUCCUUUUCUCAUUUUCGAGGGGGUCCCGCUCGGGACAGGUGUUGAUAUCUGAGUGGUUCAUGCGCGCCACGUCCGCGGAUGAUGUGGCGCGCACGAACCACUGAAUAUUUUCUCCUGUUAUAGACAUGGUGUGAGUAAUUGGAGAGCCGUGGUUCUGGCACUUUGCAAAUGGGACAUACAUAAAAAUUAGAAAGUGAUGGAUGGGCCACUUUUUCAAGCUACUGUAACAUUUCAUAGGGGAGCUUGAGAAGAGUAGUCACUUAAUAUGGAACUGUGGAGUUGUUUUUUUGCAUAACAUGACUACUAAACAUGAUGCUUCUAAUUCUUACUGUGAAGAUUGGAUUGAUACUUCUCCAUAUGAAAUGCGCUAGGUUGUCAUAGUUAAUCCUCCUAGUCUCCAUUCUUAUCGUUACUCCUGUUGUUUAAUUCUUGUAUGUUUUCCAAUUGCACGGGUAAAGUUCUAUGCUUGUCUUCAGAAUAGAGUUGGUUUUGUUAUAUACCUCAAUUAAUAGGCUUUGCACUUGACUAUGCAGGGGGCUUGAGCAUGAAUGAUUUCAUCAUAGCUGCAAAAAUUGACAGGAUCAAAACAUCAGAUCUGGCACCUAAGAAGAGAGUAUGGGCAUAAGUCGAGAUUUUUUUGCAUUGUAGGAGAAGUGAAAUGCUCAAGAUAAAAGUUUUGCGCCAUCCAGUUGAUGAGGGACAGUUCUCCAUUGUAAAUUGAUUCAUAGACUGCUGGUCCAUUCAAUGCUUAAUCAGCAGAUAGACAUUGUCAUUCACGACUAUCAUUCUUAGAUUGGUAGAAACGUUGACAAACUUAUUUUCCUUUUGAAUGUCUAUUCUUAAGGGUGUUUAUUUUUCCUUCUUUCCCUUGAAUCCUUUUGAUAUUUUGUCCAAAUUAAUGGGCAAUCCUGUUUCUGUCUGGUGAAUGCUCGAGACAGUAGUCCUGGACCAAAGGAAGUUGUCUGUCGAUGUACCUAUCCAGGUUGUAAGAAGUUUGUCCUUCAAAUGCAGUAUGGACAUGAACACAGAUGCUGCUAGUAUUGCAUUCUGCUCAUGCACUACCGCAGGAAAUCUUAUUCCUGUGUUAGUACUGUGGUUGUUUCUGUUGGAUAUGCUCAAGUAAGCUCUCAUUCUCAGAUUCAGUCCGACCUUUUGGAAAAGUUCUAUGGUAAUGCAAAAUUGCUUGUGUAAGCAACAAGCCUGAUCGUGCUGUUGAAUUCGACAUAUAUAAAAAAGGAGUCGGACAAAGAUCAACAUUAAGUAUGGGUACUUUAUCGACUUAGGUUUUAUAUCAGUUCAACGGGAGGCAAUAUCUGUGAGGUAGAAGACCCCAUUUGCAAGGUUUGGAUGGCAAAAUACAUUUGCAGGUCACGAGUCAUCGUUGGGACAGCAAAUUACUUUAUACACCAAAACGCUCUGUACCCUAGCGUUUAGCCCAAAAAGUUAAAAGACCUGGCCUCGAUAUAAAUUAAUGAUGCCAUAUCCCGUAGGCUUCGAACUUGGGAAGACCCUAUCCCUGUUUGUUACGCUGUCCUUCGACAAUGGCCGCAGCUGCUACUAUUUCACCGCCAUGCGCCCUCCUUUCUUACCAAGGUGGCUUUUUGUAACGCGCCCGACUUUCUCGAGCGGACCACCGCUGCACUAGUGCUUCGAGUUCAGUCAGUUUUUGCUUCGUUUGGUGUGACGGGACUGAUGAUGGUUGAAUUGUAGGACCUCGUGGAGCUCUGGUUUCAACCCGUACCUUCCAAUCCACAAAGAACCAGGUCUGCUUCUGCUUGCUUCCCAUGUAUCCCCUUUCGACUUUGACAAAAGGCUGAUAUGCGAACCAACAAAUUACUCGCUUAAAGAUGAAACAGAGCACAUACGAAACUCCAUAGGCGAAGGAAAUGAGUGAUCUUUUGUUCGUCUUCUUAUUUGGUCUUCCGAACACGCUGGGGGUUCAUUCAGUGCAACCUUUAUUCCGCCCGUGCCCACGAAUAGAAUUUUGCGUGGGAAAACAAGAUGGGCAAAAUAAACUCGCACUCAUUAUGUUCGACAAAAUGCUUUUGUGGUGACAGCUCUCUAUGCACUCAGGUGCUAUCUGAGCUCGUGCCCAACAGUUAUUAUCUUGAGGGAUAUCUGGUUUUCUUUUGCUUAUCCUCUAUAUUUCAACUGGAGUUAUACCCUGGCUGAAAAAAAAGGAGAAAAAAGAAGCUGGAGUCAUUGCAGGCUUUGCCACAAUAACCAUGUUUUGUGGUGCAGAGACAAUGUGGAAGGGCUGUUGCUGCUCCAAUUUCUGCUAAGUUUGACCUAAAGCCUCCACCUUAUCCACUGGUACGGUUUGAACCAUGUCUCUCUUUUCUUCUUAUUUAGUUCCCAUGGCUUCCAUAAACUAGUAGUACUUCCUGCCUUUUGCCUUGUGUUGUUUUGUUAAUGGGAUGGUUUGCUGAUUUAACGGAAUCUGUAUAUGUUUUGUCAGGCGGUCCUUUAUAAUUAAGCUUUUAAAGGUGGCACAAUCUGCUAUAUCAAUGUGUGUUCUGAUGGUGGUGAGGCAUUGUUGCUUGGCUUCACAUUUGUAGUGGCUAAAUAUACUUUCAAACUCUGCUUAUAACUGAGCUUGACUUAGAUCCUUGCAGUGCUGCCCAUUUGUGUUCGUCAAUGUUAAGGCUUAAGAUGUCAAUAUCUCUGCCUCAGGAUGCUCUGGAGCCAAACAUGAGCCGGGACACGAUAUCAUAUCAUUGGGGAAAGCACCAUAGGGGAUAUGUUGAAAAUCUAAACAUGCAAAUAGUCGGGACUGACCUAGAUGGGAUGUCAUUGGAGGACAUUAUCAUUCUUUCAUACAACAAGGGCGACAUUCUUCCUUCUUUCAAUAAUGCCGCACAGGUAGUAUAUUUUAAGUGGUCCUUAAAGUAUUUCCCUUUGUGACCUGUCAUCAAAUUAAUUGGCUCGUGUAUAGUUACUUUUUCCACAUGCUUGUGUCCUCAUAUGGGUCCAUAGUACUUAUACUAGGAGUAGAUAAUUAUCUCUCAAUCUCGUGAGGGGCUAAAGCCAGGACACAUUGGGAUUUCAUUCCUUAAAGCUGGAUUGGUACUUCAAUAUUCUGGAAAGAGAAUGCGGCCAUCGAAAUUGCUCAACUCUAAGAUAGGAUCUUCCUGUUGCCUAAUGGUAAAUAAAUCCCUUACCGUCAUAUACAGGACAGCUAGCUUGCCCAUUUAGGUAAUUAGUAUACUAGAACUUUCAUUUACCACCGGCCGCGGUGGCUCCACUGGAUAAGGCCUUGCUGAUCCUCAGCCCAGAGGUGAAGGGUUCAAAACCCAGGGGAGGCGCUAGGUGUAUUAAGUGUGACUCAGGGGUGGUGGGUCCUCCUGCUUAAGUGUCACCUGGGGUUUACGGCGCGGCUGUCGGCUGCAAGCCGGUUCCUCAAGCACCAAAGAAAAAAAAAAAAAAAACUUUCAUAUUCACCGUAUGGAAUAAAGCUCAAGAAUGAAUUGACAUUACCAUAAGAGUUCUCCUCCUCCUCAUCAUUUUGAGGGAAAAUUUCAAAUAGGGACUCAAAGUGACCCCAUUUUCUCAAAAGAGGACCCAAAGUGAAAUUUGUCUCAAAUAAGGCCCCAAAGUAAUCAUUUAGUAUCAAAAAAGGACCUGACUUGCCGGCCGGCAAACUGAUGCAUUUUCAAUGCGUAUUCCGGCGACCUGGUCUGGGGUAUUUUUGUCCAAAAAAUAUUAUCUUUUUGUUUUCCUUCUUUUGUUCAUCUUCUUCCUGAUCUACCCAUGGUGUUGUCCCUGUUCAUCGUCUUCUUCGUCGGAGAUAGGCAUUGCCCAAAUCAAGGACAUCGGAAGUGGGGAAGGGCCGGCGAAGGUCGUGGGACCGGCGUGGGUCGGCCUCACCUGAGGCCAGCGAGGGCUCAACACCCAUCGCCGGCAGCAGGCGUUGGCAGCGAGCGAGGGCUUGCAGGCCCUCGCCUGCCCUUACCAGUGGUCAGCGAGCCCUUGCUGGCCUCGCCGAACUUACUGAGGACGAAACCGCCCUGCAAUGGAGUCUUCUUCUUCUUCCUCCUCUUCAUCUCCGCUUCCCCUGCACGGAGCGACCUGGACGUGCUCUCUCGAACCGCCAUGGUCGGGCCUCCCUCCGCCGCCAUCGGCGACUGGGUCGACUCCUCCUCCUCCUUCUCGCCGCCGCCCUUUCCGCAUUGCUCCUUCACCAAAGUCACGUGCGACGCCGGCUCGUGGGUUGUCUCUCUCAACAUCACAUCCGUCGGCCUCUCGGGCUACAUCCCACCUGAAAUCGGCCUUCUCCGCGACCUCGUCAACCUCACGCUCACCACCGACAACCUCACCGGGACCCUCCCGCCGGAGCUCGGCAGCCCCACCUCCCUCCGAUUCCUCAACCUCUCCGGGAUCUUCCCCAGCAAAGUCCUGCGGGCGAUAACCCAGCUCAAAGAACUCCACUUGGGCAAUGACACAAGUUAACGGGGCCGCUGCCGCUGGAGAUGGCGGGGCUCAAGAAGCUGAAGUGGCUCGAUCUCGCCGGCAAUUACUUCACCGGCGAGAUACUGGAGGUUUGCUCGCAGAUGGAGAAGAUGAACUGGGAAAAAGGAAAAUGAAAAGAAAAUAUUUUUUGGACGAAAAUACCCUGAUUAGGUCGCCGGAAUACGCAUCAGAAAUGCAUCAGUUCACCGGCCGGCGAGUCAGGUCCUCUUUUGAGACUAAAUGACUACUUCGGAUCCUUAUUUGAGACAAGCUCCACUUCAGAUCCUUUUUUGAGAAAAUGAAGUCAUUUCGGGUCCUUAUUUGAGAUUUUCCCUCAUUUUGAGCUAUCAAAAUGAUUGGAGCGAAAAAAAGAAAGAACGAAACUUGAAAGAUGAAGAACGUUAACGAGGUCCAUACCAAAGAUUUGGAGCCUUCCACGUACUUUUUGCCUAACAUUUAAUAUGAUGCACUAGACAGACCGUUUGGCAUGCAUUUCAUGUGUGUCUUUUUUGCUAAUGUUGGUUCUCCACUUGGUGAUUGUCCAAGAGCUAACGCUCCGAGAUUCAAUUGGAUACUCGCCUCACAUCGACGUUGUUCCAAAACUGUUGAUCGGUCCGUAAUACUUGCUUUCUUAAACCAGGCGUCGCUUUUGGUUAUACAAGUUCCCAUAUAUAAGCUGAGAAAAACCAUAUGUAGACAAGCCGAAUCUCGUACAACAUUUUUUGAGAAACUCAAGUUAUAAAUCUAUUAUACCUAUGUCAAUAAAAUCAUUAACCUCUUAAUUUGGUCAAUUUAAUCGUAAAGCCUUUUGAAAAUUUACUAAUAUAAUCCUUUUAGUUACUUUUGGUGAACAAUCGUGACAUGAAUGCUGGUCAUUUUACAUGUAACACGAUUAAUGUUAAUGUAGACAAUUUUUUACAUUUUUUUUUUUAAUUUUUAAUAGAUUUUUGAAAAUUUUAUUUUCCCACAUUAGUCACCGUCAUAGGGAGGAGGGCUUGUGAGGCCGGCCCUCGCCAAAGGCUAGCCCUCGCCAUAUCUGGUGAGGCUCACCCCCACCAAAUCUCGUGUCUGAGGUCGGCAAGGUUGACCCUUGUUGACCAUGGCGACCCACAAAGGAAGAAGGGAAAAAAUAGAAAAAAGAAACAGAGAAAAAAAUGAACAAAAUAAAAAAUACAAUUAAAAAAAAAAAGAGAGUAAAAGAUCAUUCAUGUCGGCACGUGCCAUGUUACGUAAUUGGUGAUUACCGACCAAAAUUGGUCGGGACUACAUUGGCAAAUCGUCAAAAGUUAUAGGACUAAAUUGACUAAAUUAAAAAUUUUAAUGUUGAAUUGUUAUUUAUUUAAGAUUUUUCCGGUAAUUAUCGCCAAGAUUUCCAUCUAUUAGUCAGCGAGGUUUCGUCUUAAUUUGACAAGUCUCAAGCAUAUAAUAUAAAGUAACGAUAUAAGCAUAUUAUAUUGCAAAUAGGUCUAGUUUCGUAUUGGUUUUCAUCAUACCGCACGGCUCAUUCACACCGGCUUUCUUUAGGUAUGAUACACGAUGGGAUUUUGGCUAAUAAUGCAGGUUUUGACUGCGUGAAAUGCAGUGCCUUGACAGAUCAUUCUCUUCUUCUUGAUAUUCCAUCUACCAGUUAACCCACGUGCAAAAUCUCUCCUCCAUUCCAAAUCACGUGAAUGACAUCAGGUGCUCCGCCAGAGAAAGCGACGACCCGCGACGACCAGCGGUUGAGGAAAACUGAAUGCAAGUUGCUUUCGGAAGACAAUUCCGGCUUGAAUUGUAGGACAGCUCCGCGUCAUCUACGUCAUCUAAUUCUCUAAUAUGACCUGACGCUUCACACGCUAUCGAAAUAAUGCAAGGAGUUAUGUCAAACAUUGACAGUCAUUUCAGUUCUUAGCCCGGCUAGCUUUCUAGUCAGAUCAUUCAGUUUCAACGCCAAUUCAGAAGUGUUAAACAUGUGGGGGAAAAUUGACACAAAUGACCAUGAACUUUGGCUUAAUGUAUAAUGCGGUUCGUAAAUUUUAAAUUUGUUCAAUACAGUCCCUGAAUUUUAGCCAAAUGUUUAAUAUAGUCACUAAAAUUUUAAUUUGUUUUAUACAAUUCUUGAACUUUACGUACCUAAUCAAGUUAGUUCUUGGUUUAUACGAAAUGUUCAUUGUUGUCCCUAAUAUUGAAUUAAUGGCAGAACUACAUACAUUGAAAAAACAUUAAAAGUUUAGGGAUUAUAUUGAACAAAUUAAAAUUUUAUGGACUAUAUUGCACAUGAGACCAAAAAUCAUGAGCCAUUUGUAUUAUUAUCUCAACAUGUGGAGAAUAGUCGUUACACUUCUCAUAUAAGACAUGGCAAUUUCAACAUUGUGUGUUAGAUGUGAUCCCACUUCACUUAAAUACACACUUAUAACAUGUCCCAUAUAUAUGUGAUCUCACUUCAAUUUUAGAUACAACUUGUAUAAUUAAACGUUGCAUUCGGUUUGAGGAUCAAUUGCAAUGUUGAAAUUUAAUUUGUCAAUUGAUGUAACAAAUCAUAUCAAGACACUUGUGACAAAUAAGGAGCCGGUGUUGCACCACUUUGUAGGUUUACAAAUUGAGAAAGUGCUUUAUUGGCCAAAUGAAAAAAGAAAAGAAAAAGAACACAUUUAUUAGCUACCAUGACAAAUUUGACACGAUCAUUUAAAUUUGCCAAAGGAAAAAAAAUACAUAAAGGUUUGGCCAAGUGAAAAAGAAAAAAAGAAGAAGUAAUAUUUGUUAGUAUUCCAUCCAUUGCCAAAAGGUUUAAGGGUGCGUUUAGUUUAGCAUUUUGAAAACUCAUGGGAAAAAUGCAAAACAGUUUAGCCUAAAGAAUUUUAGGUAAAUGCAAAUGCCGUUUGAUAAACUAUGCUUUGAGAAGCAAUUUUGAGAAAAAUAUUAUUUAGUAGAAAACACAUUUGAAAAGCUCUUUGGAUGAUAAAUAUUAGUUUUUUUUUAAUUUUAUUUAUUUAAAAUAAAAUAAAAAAACAAUGUAUGCAACUUUUUAAAUAUCAAUUUUGAACAUAUAUAUAAUUUUUUAAAAAAAGAACAAAUCCUUCCUAGAAAUUUUUCAAUUUUUAAUUGUUAAAAUUGAAAAAAUAAUGUAUGCAACUUUUUAAAUAUAAAUUUGAAAAUAAUGCUAAAAAAUCAAAUACAUAUAUAUAAUUAAAAAAAAAAACUAAACCCUUCAUCAAAAUUUUUAAAUUUUUAAUUUUUUAAAAUUGAAUAUAAAUUUAAAUGUAUGCAACUUUUUAAAUAUCAAUUUUAACAAUAAUACUAAAAAAAUCGAAUACAUAUAUUUAAUUUUUUUAAAAAAAGACCAAAUCCUUCAUUGGAAUUUUUAAAUUUUUAUUUGCUUAAAAUUGAAAAAAAAUGAUGUAUGCAACUUUUUAAAUAUAAAUUUUCACAAUAAUGUUAAAAAAAUCAAAUAUAUAUAUAUAUAUAAAAAGACCAAAUCCUUCGUCGAAAUUUUUAAAUUUUUAUUUGUUUAAAAUUGAAAAAAGAAUGCAUGCAAAUUUUUAAAUAUAAAUUUGAGAAUAAUGCUAAGAAAUCAAAUAUAUAUAUAUAUAUAUAUAUAUAUAUUUUUUUUUUUUUUAAAAGGCCAAACCCUUCGUCAGAAUUUUUAAAUUUUUAUUUGUUUAAAAUUGAAAAAAAUAAUGUAUGCAACUUUUUAAAUAUAAUUUUUUUUACAAUCAUACUAAACAAAUAAAAUACAUUUAUAUAUAUAUUUAAAAAAAAGACCAAAUCAUUCGUCGAAAUUUUUUAAUUUUAAUUGUUUAAAAUUUGAAAAAAAUAAUGUAUGGGAAUUUUUAAUAUAAAUUUGAAAAUAAUGCUAAGAAAUCAAAUAUAUAUAUGUAUAUAUAUAUAUAUAUAUAUAUAUAUAUAUACAUAUAUAUAUAAUUUAAAAAAAAACCAAACUCUUCAUUGGAAUAUUUUAAUUUAUAUUUGCUUAUAAUUGAAAAAAUAAUGUAUACAAUUUUUUAAAUAUAAAAUUUUACAAUAAUGCUAAAAAAAUCAAAUAUAUAAAUAUUUUUUAAAAGACAAAAUAUAUAUUUUUUUAGCAUUUAUAUAUAUUUGAUUUUUUAAGCAUUAUUUUGGUAUUUAAAAAAAUAAUAAAAAUGGCAAAAUUAGAAAUUUGAAGAAUGAGUGAUGAUAAUUUUGGAAGAAAAAAAUAAGUUUCAACAUUUGGGUAAUUGUUGAAAGCUCAAAGUUAAUCCUUACUAGCAUUGGGCUUAAGUUAAUUCUUACUAGCAUUGGGCUUUCAACUUUCUCAAUAUCUUUAAGUUUUCAGCUUUUUCAAUAUUGAUUUUUACUUGAAAGCUAGCUACCAAACGGUCCGGUAUUUUCCUAAGGGCCUUUCGUGAAAGCUCCUUGGGAAUACUGAAUCAAAUGCACAUACCUUUACUUGAAAAGUUUUUUGGGAGAGAGAGAAUUUUUGCGACACUUGUUUAGAGUUAAUUAUGAUAUUUCAAUUUUUAUCAAGAUAUCAAGAUGAAAGUGGACUGUAGUUAGCAGUAGAGAGUGUACAAAAUAGUAAGAAAAAUAUUAAUUUAAUCAUAGCAGCGAAAAAUUGUACUUUUUUUUUUAGUUUCUAUAUGGUGAAUUUUUUCGAACUAAAAUUCGUGUCAAUAGCUAAAGACGUGUUUCAACGCCCAUCAAGGCGUAACGAGGAGUCAAAAAGUUCAAAUGAAAGUCGGGUCUUUCUGCAAAAUCCAUGUCUUUUUCCAUUUCCCAUCACCUUCUCGGCAGCAGGACCCCGCCCUCGUCCCUCCGCCCUUAUAAAAAACUCAUCAAAGACUUUUGACUCACCAAAACCACUUCUCCUUCUUCUUCUUCUUCUUCGUCUUCAUCUCCUCCUCCUCCUAGUCCCGAUCCCCCCCCCCCCCCAAAAGACUUCUCGUACUCUUCUCUGACUCGCCCUCUGCCUCACGUGUUCCCCACCAAUAUGUCAAACGUGCCCUUGAGAAGUAUUCGCUCAAGGUGCAUACUUUCGCCCUUCUUGCUCUGCGCUGAAUGCCGACAUACUUCUUGAACCCAUCAAAAAGAGAAGAAAUAUAACCAGAAUUAUGACUCACAGAUAUGAAACUACGUGAGAGAGACAUACCACAUCUGCAGCAGCCNNNNNNNNNNNNNNNNNNNNNNNNNNNNNNNNNNNNNNNNNNNNNNNNNNNNNNNNNNNNNNNNNNNNNNNNNNNNNNNNNNNNNNNNNNNNNNNNNNNNNNNNNNNNNNNNNNNNNNNNNNNNNNNNNNNNNNNNNNNNNNNNNNNNNNNNNNNNNNNNNNNNNNNNNNNNNNNNNNNNNNNNNNNNNNNNNNNNNNNNNNNNNNNNNNNNNNNNNNNNNNNNNNNNNNNNNNNNNNNNNNNNNNNNNNNNNNNNNNNNNNNNNNNNNNNNNNNNNNNNNNNNNNNNNNNNNNNNNNNNNNNNNNNNNNNNNNNNNNNNNNNNNNNNNNNNNNNNNNNNNNNNNNNNNNNNNNNNNNNNNNNNNNNNNNNNNNNNNNNNNNNNNNNNNNNNNNNNNNNNNNNNNNNNNNNNNNNNNNNNNNNNNNNNNNNNNNNNNNNNNNNNNNNNNNNNNNNNNNNNNNNNNNNNNNNNNNNNNNNNNNNNNNNNNNNNNNNNNNNNNNNNNNNNNNNNNNNNNNNNNNNNNNNNNNNNNNNNNNNNNNNNNNNNNNNNNNNNNNNNNNNNNNNNNNNNNNNNNNNNNNNNNNNNNNNNNNNNNNNNNNNNNNNNNNNNNNNNNNNNNNNNNNNNNNNNNNNNNNNNNNNNNNNNNNNNNNNNNNNNNNNNNNNNNNNNNNNNNNNNNNNNNNNNNNNNNNNNNNNNNNNNNNNNNNNNNNNNNNNNNNNNNNNNNNNNNNNNNNNNNNNNNNNNNNNNNNNNNNNNNNNNNNNNNNNNNNNNNNNNNNNNNNNNNNNNNNNNNNNNNNNNNNNNCCCCUGUUCGGGCCUAAUCCCUCCGACCCCCUCCCCACCCCUUGAUUCUGUUAUUUGAGAUUUUGGAAGGAGCAAAGCUCAUUCCUCCCCACCAUCUCCUCACCUCUCUCUGAGCAAGCUAGCCGGUCAUAAUGUUGCUGGUCAACUGCUCCAAUUGCCACACUCCCGUUGCAGUUGCCACCGGGUGCCCCCUCCAUGCGCUGCGCCCUCUGCCACGCCGUCACCCUCAUCGCCCGAUCCUCGCUCCCUGCCUCCCCCCUCCCCCCACUCCUCCUCCUCCUCCUCCUCCUUCCACCACCGCCACCACCUCCCCCAACACUAUCCUCCGCAGCGGCCGCCGCCGGGGCCCCCUCCUCCGGCCCAGGGCUCGAAGCGAGCCCUGAUAUGCGGCGUCUCGUACAGAAACACCCGGGACGAGCUCAAGGACUGCGUCAACCACGCCAAGGGCAUGAAGUUCCUGUUGACCAAUCGCUUCAAGUUCCCCGAGUCCUCCAUCCUCGUGCUCACCGGUGCGUUUGCCUUUCUCGCUUCUGUCUCUGCUCCGAUAAGGAUCCGAUCGUCUUCGUGUUCAAUCGCUCCCUUCUCUCGGCGAUGCUUCCAAUGAAUUGCUAAUCGCGCGUUGACCGUCUACAGCGCAGCUUCUCUCUCUCUUCAAUUAUUUCUCAAUUGCGCGUGCAUGCUCAUUGGCAAUUCGAAUUUGACGAACGUUCCUAGCGUUCUUUCCCAAUUAAAGUUCAGCUGAUAGCAUCGCGAUCCCUCACCAUGAGUUACGACUUAAUUCUACUGAGUUUGACAUAGGAUAGCACUGCAAUGUCGAUCGCUAGAUUGUUAGUCGUGAGAACAAAUGUGAUGACCGCUACGCAAAUUACAGACACGGUUCGGAUUCUAGAUGUUCAAGUUAGGCCUCCUUAUCAACCUUCAUCCUUGUGAAUACUUGAUAACGAGUGUGUGAAGCGGUUUCUCCGGCUGUUAAUCUCGUCUUGUCUCUGGUUCGUCAUGUCUCAUGAUGAUCCGAAAAGGAUUCGCAAUUAGUCGAAACUAUAGAGGAAUAAGUUUCUGAAAGAUACUCCGCAUCUCCGUUUUACAAGUUAUCUAUUAUUAAUCUGAAAUGCCCACGUGGGGGCCUCAUUAGUCUGUGAAUAUUAACUCUGCAGAAGAUGAACGCGAUCCUUGGAGGCGUCCAACCAAUCAGAACAUAAGAAUGGCGAUGCAGUGGCUUGUCCAAGAUUGUAGGCCUGGGGAUUCUUUGGUAUUCCAUUAUUCCGGUCAUGGAUCCCAGCAGAGGAACUACACCGGUGACGAGGUGGAUGGGUUUGACGAAACGCUCUGCCCUUCAGAUUUUAGGACCCAAGGAAUGAUCGUCGAUGAUGAGAUCAAUGCUACAAUCGUCAGGCCUCUUCCUCAUGGUGUUAAGCUUCAUGCCGUUAUUGAUUCUUGUCACAGCGGCACUAUGUUAGAUUUACCCUUUCUCUGUAGAAUGGACAGGUUUGUUCAUCAUUCGCGUGGUUCUUUGCAUUAAAUUCCUAGAUUUAUCCAUCCAGAGACGAACUUUGUUUGUUUUCAUUUGUGAAUGCAGAAGUGGUCGGUAUAUCUGGGAGGACCACAGACCUCGUUCAGGAGUAUGGAAAGGGACAAGCGGGGGAGAAGUGAUUUCUUUCAGCGGCUGUGAUGAUAAUCAAACUUCUGCCGAUACUCCGGUAAAGCUUUUGGUGUUUGGCACUUAAAUGGAUUUCUCGGAAUCCUGGAAAAUCCUUACUAUUGCAAAAGUAAGUAAAAGGGAGCACAAACUUAAUUAGCCCGAUUCUCUCUGCCAACAGGCUCUGUCACAGGUUACAUCGACAGGUGCUAUGACUUAUUCCUUCAUCCAAGCCAUUGAGCGUGGGCAUGCCGCCACUUAUGGGAGCAUGCUGAAUGCGAUGCGGUCUACCAUUCGGAACACAGGCAACGAUCUUGAGGGUGGACUUGUAACUUCUCUUCUCACGAUGCUUUUGAACGGUGGCAACCUCAGCACACGACUAAGACAGGUAUGUUAUACUACGGCAGCAUCAGCUGUUUCUUUGUGAAAAAGUUGCUUCGGAGCCUCUGUAGAAUGUGCCUGAGGUUUCUCUGUUUCAUACUGAAACCAAACAUCUUAGUGGAGAACAGGACUAAGAUUACUUGUAUAGCUUUGAUUGUCUGAUGUGAACUUCGCUCUCAUGAGAUGGUAGUUGGGAUGUACUUUCAAUAUCUAAAUCACUUUUAUAAAAGUCAUUUGAAAACAUAAGGUGCGUCAGUGCAUAUCUAUUAAAGAAGCAACUGUGGACGAACUUGUUUGAUAUGUACCAGGAAAAGAUAGCUAUUUCGUUCUAUUUUAUUUCGUUGAUGCAUCUUCAGUGACUAUUAUUGUUACGGAAAGAUGAGGGAAAUCAUUAAAGCUGGUUUACGUAUGUCAAAAUGGCUAGAGACGUUAUAUCGUAUGCAGAUGGAAUGUUCAGUAAUUCAGUAGAAACAUGAGAUUACAUUAUGGAGAUGGAAUAAUUGAAAACCGUAUGGAGAUUUUCACUUAAUUCUGGAAAGUGUAAGACGGUUAGAUGGUCUUCCAUGAUAAUUCACGUAUCCUACUUGGUAAAUUGGCUUCUUUGCCGAAAGACCUUCAUUUGUAACUUGUAAAAAGUUCUGCUUGAUUAACUUGUUCACAGUUGUGCGUAUAAUGGUGGUUGAAAACCCAUAUAACCUUCCACCAAAAUGUUCCUACUUUGAUCACUAAAGCAUCCUCUUAUGCUCGGAGCACAAACAAAGCAAUGUUCAAGCCUGUUUUUAAACAUAAAGGCUUCUCCAUCAUUCUUGCUUCCACCAUGCCCAAAUCGACAAAUCAAACUAGUGGACUUUGAUAAAUUUCUGUCGACUUGGGUUAGAAAAAUGCCCUAGUUCUUCUGCAUGAAUCUCACAUCUUGGAGGCUAGGCACUGCUGUGCCGUGGGAUACUCGUUAAUACAACCAUUUCACCCUGU
rnacentral:lncRNA from 1 species